rnacentral:tRNA from 1 species
UCCAGCAUGGUCUAGAGGCUAGGAUACCUAGCUCUCACCCAGGAGACCCGGGUUCGAUUCCCGGUGUCGGAA